UACGUAGGGUGCAAGCGCUGUCCGGAAUUAUUGGGCGUAAAGAGCUCGUAGGCGGUUUGUCGCGUCUGCUGGGAAAACUCGGGGCUUAACUCCGGGCCUGCAGUGGGUACGGGCAGACUAGAGUGCGGUAGGGGAGACUGGAAUUCCUGGUGUAGCGGUGAAAUGCGCAGAUAUCAGGAGGAACACCGGUGGCGAAGGCGGGUCUCUGGGCCGUAACUGACGCUGAGACGCGAAAGCGUGGGGAGCGAACAGG
rnacentral:rRNA from 1 species